CCGCCGUGGUGUAAUCGGCAACACAUCGGACUUUGAAUCCGACAUUCCAGGUUCGAUCCCUGGCGGCGGAG
rnacentral:tRNA from 1 species